rnacentral:ncRNA from 2 species
UGACCCCGUGCGGGAGAGCUCUCCGGAUCGAUCCGGAGGCGCCGAAGGAGCAAAUCCUCCCCGGAAUCUCUCAGGCACACGUACCGCACGGACGAG